rnacentral:rRNA from 1 species
AGAGUUUGAUCCUGGCUCAGGAUGAACGCUGGCGGCGUGCUUAACACAUGCAAGUCGAACGAUGAUGGGAGCUUGCUCCUGGAUUAGUGGCGAACGGGUGAGUAACACGUGAGUAACCUGCCCUUAACUCUGGGAUAAGCCUGGGAAACUGGGUCUAAUACCGGAUAUGACUCCUCAUCGCAUGGUGGGGGGUGGAAAGCUUUUUUGUGGUUUUGGAUGGACUCGCGGCCUAUCAGCUUGUUGGUGAGGUAAUGGCUUACCAAGGCGACGACGGGUAGCCGGCCUGAGAGGGUGACCGGCCACACUGGGACUGAGACACGGCCCAGACUCCUACGGGAGGCAGCAGUGGGGAAUAUUGCACAAUGGGCGCAAGCCUGAUGCAGCGACGCCGCGUGAGGGAUGACGGCCUUCGGGUUGUAAACCUCUUUCAGUAGGGAAGAAGCGAAAGUGACGGUACCUGCAGAAGAAGCGCCGGCUAACUACGUGCCAGCAGCCGCGGUAAUACGUAGGGUGCAAGCGUUGUCCGGAAUUACUGGGCGUAAAGAGUUCGUAGGCGGUUUGUCGCGUCGUUUGUGAAAACCAGCAGCUCAACUGCUGGCUUGCAGGCGAUACGGGCAGACUUGAGUACUGCAGGGGAGACUGGAAUUCCUGGUGUAGCGGUGAAAUGCGCAGAUAUCAGGAGGAACACCGGUGGCGAAGGCGGGUCUCUGGGCAGUAACUGACGCUGAGGAACGAAAGCGUGGGUAGCGAACAGGAUUAGAUACCCUGGUAGUCC